CUAGCCCUAAACCAUCAGGACUUGGGGUUUGCCCUGUACGGGGCAAGUCCCGUAGCUAACGCGUUAAGUCCUGCGCCUGGGGAGUACGGUCGCAAGACUGAAACUCAAAGGAAUUGACGGGGGCCCGCACAAGCGGUGGAACAUGUGGUUCAAUUCGACGCAACGCGAAGAACCUUACCUGGGCUUGAACCGCACAGGACCAUCUUUGGAAACAGAGACUUCCCGCAAGGGACCUGUGUAGAGGUGCUGCAUGGCUGUCGUCAGCUCGUGCCGUGAGGUGUUGGGUUAAGUCCCGCAACGAGCGCAACCCUUACUCUUAGUUGCCACCCGCAAGGGGGAACUCUAAGAGGACUGCUCCGGAUAACGGAGAGGAAGGUGGGGAUG
rnacentral:rRNA from 1 species